rnacentral:rRNA from 1 species
GAGUCGUAACAAGGUUUCCGUAGGUGAACCUGCGGAAGGAUCAUUACAGUAGUCACCCGGGUUGCCGCAAGGCCUCCCGGGUAACCUACCACCCUUUGUUUAUUACACUUUGUUGCUUUGGCAGGCCUGCCCUCGGGCUGCUGGCUCCGGCCGGCGAGCGUCUGCCAGAGGACCUAAACUCUGUUUGUCUAUACUGUCUGAGUACUAUAUAAUAGUUAAAACUUUCAACAACGGAUCUCUUGGUUCUGGCAUCGAUGAAGAACGCAGCGAAAUGCGAUAAGUAAUGUGAAUUGCAGAAUUCAGUGAAUCAUCGAAUCUUUGAACGCACAUUGCGCCCCCUGGUAUUCCGGGGGGCAUGCCUGUCCGAGCGUCAUUACAACCCUCAAGCUCAGCUUGGUAUUGGGCCCCGCCGACCCGGCGGGCCCUAAAGUCAGUGGCGGUGCCGUCCAGCUCCGAGCGUAGUAAUUCUUCUCGCUCUGGAGGUCCGGUCGUGUGCUCGCCAGCAACCCCCAAUUUUUUUCAGGUUGACCUCGGAUCAGGUAGGGAUACCCGCUGAACUUAA